UAGAGUUUGAUCCUGGCUCAGGAUGAACGCUGGCGGCGUGCCUAAUACAUGCAAGUCGAGCGGUAAGGCUCUCACAGUUUGCUUGAUCAAGAUUUAUCCGUAGACAUCACCGGCUGGUGAUGAAAACGGCCAAAUCGUUUGAGAUGGAGCAAAGUGUGAGAGUACACGAGCGGCGGACGGCUGAGUAACGCGUAGGAACGUACCCCAAAGUGAGGGAUAAGCUCCAGAAAUGGAGUCUAAUACCGCAUGUGAUCUUCGGAUUAAAGCUUUAUGCGCUUUGGGAGCGGCCUGCGUCUGAUUAGAUUGUUGGUGAGGUAAAGGCUCACCAAGUCGACGAUCAGUAGCUGGUCUGAGAGGAUGAUCAGCCAGACUGGAACUGAGACACGGUCCAGACUCCUACGGGAGGCAGCAGUAAGGAAUCUUCCACAAUGGGGGCAACCCUGAUGGAGCAACGCCGCGUGCAGGAUGAAGGCCUUCGGGUCGUAAACUGCUUUUGUUAGCGAAGAAUAUGACGGUAACUAACGAAUAAGGGUCGGCUAACUACGUGCCAGCAGCCGCGGUCAUACGUAGGACCCAAGCGUUAUCCGGAGUGACUGGGCGUAAAGAGUUGCGUAGGCGGCUUAUUAAGUGAGUAGUGAAAUCGUGUGGCUCAACCAUUACGGCUAUUACUCAAACUGGUAAGCUCGAGAAUGGUAGAGGUAGCUGGAAUUUCUAGUGUAGGAGUGAAAUCCGUAGAUAUUAGAAGGAACACCAAUGGCGUAGGCAGGCUACUGGACCAUUUCUGACGCUGAGGCACGAAAGCGUGGGGAGCGAACCGGAUUAGAUACCCGGGUAGUCCACGCCGUAAACGAUGGAUGCUAGCUGUGGGGGGUAUCGACCCCCUCCGUAGCGAAGCUAACGCGUUAAGCAUCCCGCCUGUGGAGUACGGUCGCAAGACUAAAACAUAAAGGAAUUGACGGGGACCCGCACAAGCGGUGGAGCGUGUUCUUUAAUUCGAUGAUAAACGAAGAACCUUACCAGGGUUUGACAUCCUUGGAAUUACUGCGAAAGCAGUGAGUGCCCUUGGGAACCAAGUGACAGCUGUUGCAUGGCCGUCGUCAGCUCGUGUCGUGAGAUGUUUGGUUAAGUCCAUUAACGAGCGCAACCCUUAUAGUUAGUUGAAUUUUUCUAGCUAGACUGCCCCGGUAACGGGGAGGAAGGAGGGGAUGAUGUCAGGUCAGUAUUACGCUUACAUCCUGGGCUAGAAACGCGCUACAAUGGCCGGUACAACGGGAAGCCAACCCGCAAGGGGGAGCAAAUCCCAUCAAAACCGGUCUCAGUUCGGAUUGCAGGCUGAAACUCGCCUGCAUGAAGUUGGAAUCGCUAGUAAUCGCAAGUCAGCACAUUGCGGUGAAUACGUUCCCGGGUCUUGUACACACCGCCCGUCAAACCAUGAAAGUGACCAACACCCGAAGUCCGAUUCGUCGGCCUAAGGUGGGGGGCAUGAUUGGGGUUAAGUCGUAACAAGGUAAC
rnacentral:rRNA from 1 species